GCUCAGUAACACGUGGAUAACCUGCCCUUGGGUCUGGGAUAACCCCGGGAAACUGGGGAUAAUACUGGAUAACGCAUAUGUGCUGGAAUGCUUUAUGCGUAAAACGGAUUCGUCCGCCCAAGGAUGGGUCUGCGGCCUAUCAGGUAGUAGUGGGUGUAAUGUACCUACUAGCCAACAACGGGUACGGGUUGUGAGAGCAAGAGCCCGGAGAUGGAUUCUGAGACAUGAAUCCAGGCCCUACGGGGCGCAGCAGGCGCGAAAACUUUACAAUGCGGGCAACCGUGAUAAGGGAACCUCGAGUGCCUGUAAAUGCAGGCUGUUCAGGUGCCUAAAACACACCUGAAGAAAGGGCCGGGCAAGACCGGUGCCAGCCGCCGCGGUAAUACCGGCGGCUCGAGUGGUGGCCGCUUUUAUUGGGCUUAAAGCGUUCGUAGCUGGGUUGUUAAGUCUCUUGGGAAAUCUGGCGGCUUAACCGUCAGGCGUCUAAGGGAUACUGGCAAUCUUGGAACCGGGAGAGGUGAGGGGUACUUCGGGGGGUAGGAGUGAAAUCCUGUAAUCCUCGAGGGACCACCUGUGGCGAAGGCGCCUCACCAGAACGGCUUCGACAGUGAGGGACGAAAGCUGGGGGAGCAAACCGGAUUAGAUACCCGGGUAGUCCCAGCCGUAAACUAUGCGCGUUAGGUGUAUCGGUGACCACGAGUUACCGAGGUGCCGAAGGGAAACCGUGAAACGUGCCGCCUGGGAAGUACGGUCGCAG
rnacentral:rRNA from 1 species